CCUACGGGUGGCAGCAGUGAGGAAUAUUGGUCAAUGGCCGGAAGGCUGAACCAGCCAUGCCGCGUGAAGGUCAGUGCCCUAUGGGCGUUAAACUUCUUUUGUCAAGGGACAAAAUCAGGCUCGAGAGCCUGACCGAGGGUACUUGAAGAAAAAGCAUCGGCUAACUCCGUGCCAGCAGCCGCGGUAAUACGGAGGAUGCGAGCGUUAUCCGGAUUUAUUGGGUUUAAAGGGUGCGUAGGCGGACUGUUAAGUCAGCGGUAAAAGCCCGGGGCUCAACCCCGGCGAGCCGUUGAAACUGGCUGUCUUGAGAUGUCGAGAGGUAUGCGGAAUGCGCAGUGUAGCGGUGAAAUGCUUAGAUAUUGCGCAGAACUCCGAUUGCGAAGGCAGCAUACCGGCGGCGAUCUGACGCUGAGGCACGAAAGCGUGGGUAUCGAACAGGAUUAGAUACCCGAGUAGUC
rnacentral:rRNA from 1 species